rnacentral:rRNA from 1 species
UACGGAGGAUCCAAGCGUUAUCCGGAUUUAUUGGGUUUAAAGGGUGCGUAGGUGGCCUGUUAAGUCAGGGGUGAAAGACGGUAGCUCAACUAUCGCAGUGCCCUUGAUACUGAUGGGCUUGAAUAAACUAGAGGUAGGCGGAAUGUGACAAGUAGCGGUGAAAUGCAUAGAUAUGUCACAGAACACCAAUUGCGAAGGCAGCUUACUAUGGUUUUAUUGACACUGAGGCACGAAAGCGUGGGGGAUCAAACAGG